ACAUCCAGCGAACUUGGCAGAGAUGCCUUGGUGCCUUCGGGAACGCUGAGACAGGUGCUGCAUGGCUGUCGUCAGCUCGUGUUGUGAAAUGUUGGGUUAAGUCCCGCAACGAGCGCAACCCUUAUCCUUUGUUGCCAGCGAUUCGGUCGGGAACUCAAAGGAGACUGCCGGUGAUAAACCGGAGGAAGGUGGGGAUGACGUCAAGUCAUCAUGGCCCUUACGAGUAGGGCUACACACGUGCUACAAUGGCGCAUACAAAGAGAGGCGACCUCGCGAGAGCAAGCGGACCUCAUAAAGUGCGUCGUAGUCCGGAUCGGAGUCUGCAACUCGACUCCGUGAAGUCGGAAUCGCUAGUAAUCGUGGAUCAGAAUGCCACGGUGAAUACGUUCCCGGGCCUUGUACACACCGCCCGUCACACCAUGGGAGUGGGUUGCAAAAGAAGUAGGUAGCUUAACCUUCGGGAGGGCGCUUACCACUUUGUGAUUCAUGACUGGGGUGAAGUCGUAACAAGGUAAGCGUAGCGAG
rnacentral:rRNA from 1 species